rnacentral:lncRNA from 1 species
CUUUGUUCCACAGGCUCCUCUGCUCACAGCGGCGUGCGUAAAACCCAAAGGAAAACCAAGCCCGGCCUUCCAGCAGAUGAUCCAAUGAGAUGUUUCCAUAAAGAACAUGUUCCCACUCCACACCUGGCCCAGGAGAAGCUCAAAACAUGGAACUAAAAAGGAAAGUUGGUGAGAACAAUAAACUGUGACCUGUAUAUAUCAUGAGCAACAACCGAAACACAAUGGGGGCAAUUGGUGUGUAAGGAAGCAAACGGUAGAACAGAAUUGUUAGAAGAGCCACAAGUACUAUGGCUGAGCAGAAAAAUAUGCCAGAGAGAGGUUGUCAUAGGAACUGUGCCAGAAGAGCAGCGACUCAAUAGAAUGUACUAUCCAAAAGGAGAGGAAGGAGCUGAUCUUGAAGCGUCUCUUACCAUCCGUUUUAGGGAACAAAUCUUUCAUGAAUCUCCUCAUGGAAAUUGUCUGCAGUGACAGCAGGGAUAGAGCCCUCUGAGGAAGACACAGUCAUUCAAAUUUUCCAGAUGAAAAAAUGAAGCACAGAGAA